GACAGAGGCCCCAAGCGUUAGGCGGAAUCACUGGGCUUAAAGCGUGUGUAGGCGGAUCGUUAAGUGUCUUGUGAAAUCCCACGGCUCACCCGUGGAACUGCUGGGCAUACUGGCGAUCUUGGGCCAACUAGGGGCAGUCGGAACAAGCGGUGGAGCGGUGAAAUGCGUAGAUAUCGCUUGGAACGCCGAAGGUGAAAACAGGUAGCUGGGAGUGUGCUGACGCUGAGACACGAAAGCCAGGGGAGCAAACGGG
rnacentral:rRNA from 1 species